rfam:Medicago truncatula strain A17 chromosome 6, whole genome shotgun sequence.
AGACCGUGAUGGGGUCAACGUCUAAGUAUUUCCUUAAAACGUUCCCACACAUCGAAAAGAGAUUCCCCGUUCAUUUGAGUAAAUUGGUAAAGCUUUCCCCUAAGUUG